UACCCUAAAGACGAGGAUAACCAUUGGAAACAGUGGCUAAGACUGGAUAGGAAGAUAAAAGGCAUCUUUUAUCUUUUAAAAGACCUAGUAAUAGGUAUGCUUUAGGAGGGGCUUGCGCCAUAUUAGUUAGUUGGUAGGGUAAUGGCCUACCAAGACGAUGAUGUGUAGCUGGACUGAGAGGUUGAACAGCCACAUUGGGACUGAGACACGGCCCAAACUCCUACGGGAGGCAGCAGUAGGGAAUUUUCGGCAAUGGAGGAAACUCUGACCGAGCAACGCCGCGUGAAUGACGAAGUACUUCGGUAUGUAAAGUUCUUUUAUCAAGGAAGAAAAGCAAAUGGCGAACCAUUUGUUUGCCGGUACUUGAUGAAUAAGCCCCGGCUAAUUAUGUGCCAGCAGCCGCGGUAAGACAUAAGGGGCAAGUGUUAUCCGGAAUUAUUGGGCGUAAAGGGUGCGUAGGCGGUCUAGUAAGUCAGUGGUGUAAUGGCAACGCUUAACGUUGUCCGGCUAUUGAAACUGCUAAACUUGAGUUAGAUAGAGGCGAGUGGAAUUCCAUGUGUAGCGGUAAAAUGCGUAAAUAUAUGGAGGAACACCAGAGGCGUAGGCGGCUCGCUGGGUCUUAACUGACGCUGAGGCACGAAAGCGUGGGGAGCAAACAGGAUUAGAUACCCUGGUAGUCCACGCCGUAAACGAUGAGUACUAAGUGUCGGGUUAAACCGGUACUGAAGUUAACACAUUAAGUACUCCGCCUGAGUAGUACGUACGCAAGUAUGAAACUUAAAGGAAUUGACGGGACUCCGCACAAGCGGUGGAUCAUGUUGUUUAAUUCGAAGAUACCCGAAAAACCUUACCAGGUCUUGACAUGUUUUUGCAAAAUGAUAGUAAUAUCGUGGAGGUUACCAGAAACACAGGUGGUGCAUGGUUGUCGUCAGCUCGUGUCGUGAGAUGUUAGGUUAAGUCCUAAAACGAGCGAAACCCUUAUCGUUAGUUGCCAGCACGUUAUGGUGGGGACUUUAACGAGACUGCCAAUGAUAAAUUGGAGGAAGGUGAGGAUCACGUCAAAUCAGCAUGCCCCUUAUGACCUGGGCUACAAACGUGAUACAAUGGCUGUUACAAAGGGUAGCUGAAACGCAAGUUCUUGGCCAAUCCCCAAAAACAGUCCCAGUCCGGAUUGAAGUCUGCAACUCGACUUCAUGAAGUUGGAAUCGCUAGUAAUCGCGAAUCAGCAUGUCGCGGUGAAUACGUUCUCGGGGU
rnacentral:rRNA from 4 species